ACGAACGCUGGCGGCAUGCCUAAUACAUGCAAGUCGAGCGAAUGAUGAAGAAGCUUGCUCUUCUGAUUAGCGGCGGACGGGUGAGUAACACGUGGGCAACCUACCCUAUAGAUUGGGAUAACACAGGGAAACCUGUGCUAAUACCGAAUAAUACCUUUCUCUUCAUGGAGGAUGGUUGAAAGAUGGUUUCGGCUAUCACUAUAGGAUGGGCCCGCGGCGCAUUAGCUAGUUGGUGAGGUAAUGGCUCACCAAGGCAACGAUGCGUAGCCGACCUGAGAGGGUGAUCGGCCACACUGGGACUGAGACACGGCCCAGACUCCUACGGGAGGCAGCAGUAGGGAAUCUUCCACAAUGGGCGAAAGCCUGAUGGAGCAAUGCCGCGUGAGUGAUGAAGGAUUUCGGUUCGUAAAACUCUGUUGUAAGGGAAGAACAAGUAGCGUAGUAACUGGCGUUACCUUGACGGUACCUUAUUAGAAAGCCACGGCUAACUACGUGCCAGCAGCUGC
rnacentral:rRNA from 1 species